rnacentral:rRNA from 1 species
UACGGGGGGGGCAAGCGUUGUUCGGAAUUACUGGGCGUAAAGGGCUUGUAGGUGGCCAACUAAGUCAGACGUGAAAUCCCUCGGCUUAACCGGAGAACUGCGUCUGAUACUGGAUGGCUUGAGUGUGGGAGAGGGAUGCGGAAUUCCAGGUGUAGCGGUGAAAUGCGUAGAUAUCUGGAGGAACACCGGUGGCGAAGGCGGCAUCCUGGACCAUUACUGACACUGAAAAGCGAAAGCCAGGGGAGCAAACGGG